rnacentral:rRNA from 1 species
AGAAUCAACGCUGGCGGCGUGCCUAACACAUGCAAGUCGAACGAGAAAGUGGAGCAAUCCAUGAGUAAAGUGGCGCACGGGUGAGUAACACGUGACUAACCUACCCUUGAGUGGGGGAUAACCUAGAGAAAUCUGGGCUAAUACCGCAUAAUACCUUCGGGUCAAAGGAGCAAUUCGCUUUAGGAGGGGGUCGCGGCCGAUUAGUUAGUUGGCGGGGUAAUGGCCCACCAAGACUGUGAUCGGUAUCCGGCCUGAGAGGGCGCACGGACACACUGGAACUGAAACACGGUCCAGACUCCUACGGGAGGCAGCAGUGGGAAUUUGCGCAAUGGGGGAAACCCUGACGCAGCAACGCCGCGUGGAGGAUGAAGCCCCUUGGGGCGUAAACUCCUUUCGAUCGGGAAGAUAAUGACGGUACCGAGAGAAGAAGCCCCGGCUAACUUCGCGCCAGCAGCCGC